GCCUGUGUGACACACGCGACAACGCUGAGCUAGGCUAGACCAGAGCAAUGGAAAGUAGCCAGCUAGCUUGGUAGAUAACUGCAUUGAAUCUGAAAACAAGCUAAACUGUCCAAGUUUAAGGCACCACCUGGAUGUACAACUACGUUUUGCUGCAAGUUGACCCUAACCGGAAAGCCUAUUAGUGUUUCAAAACAAAUGUAGCCGCUAACAUCGUUAUCGGAUAAAGAUUUUGGCUAGCCCUUGCUAGCGCAGGCAGUCGUCAGUUUUGCUUAGUUAAACACCGAGAGCAAGUAAGAGAGAUACACUUGUGUGGAUUACGUAAACAUAUCAAACCAAGGUUUGUGUGAUUUUGCUAAAAUGCAUCACCAACAGCGAAUGGCUGCCUUAGGGACAGACAAAGAACUAAGCGACUUAUUGGAUUUCAGUGCGAUGCGAAACAGCGAUUUGAAAAUGUUCCCAACAUCAAUGAUGUUCUCUCCUCCUGUUAGUGGUAAACACGGACCAACCUCUCUAGGAAGUGGACAUUUUGCAGGCUCAAGUAUG